UAACGCGUGAGUAACCUGCCUUACACAAGGGGAUAGCCUCUGGAAACGGAGAAUAAUACCCUAUGAAACUAUCUUAUCGCAUGAAAAGAUAGUCAAAGUGUUUUAGCGGUGUAAGAUGGGCUUGCGUCUGAUUAGCUAGUUGGUGAGAUAACAGCCCACCAAGGCAACGAUCAGUAGCCGGCUUGAGAGAGUGUACGGCCACAUUGGGACUGAGACACGGCCCAG
rnacentral:rRNA from 1 species